GAUGAACGCUGGCGGCGUGCCUAAUACAUGCAAGUCCAGCGAACAGAUAAGGAGCUUGCUCCUUUGAAGUUAGCGGCGGACGGGUGAGUAACACGUGGGUAACCUACCUAUAAGACUGGGAUAACUUCGGGAAACCGGAGCUAAUACCGGAUAACAUUUAGAACCGCAUGGUUCUAAAGUGAAAGAUGGUUUUGCUAUCACUUAUAGAUGGACCCGCGCCGGAUUAGCUAGUUGGUAAGGUAACGGCUUACCAAGGCGACGAUACGUAGCCGACCUGAGAGGGUGAUCGGCCACACUGGAACUGAGACACGGUCCAGACUCCUACGGGAGGCAGCAGUAGGGAAUCUUCCGCAAUGGGCGAAAGCCUGACGGAGCAACGCCGCGUGAGUGAUGAAGGGUUUCGGCUCGUAAAACUCUGUUAUUAGGGAAGAACAAAUGUGUAAGUAACUGUGCACAUCUUGACGGUACCUAAUCAGAAAGCCACGGCUAACUACGUG
rnacentral:rRNA from 1 species